AUUGAACGCUGGCGGCAGGCCUAACUCAUGCAAGUCGAACGGCAGCACAGAAGAGCUUGCUCUUUGGGUGGCGAGUGGCGGACGGGUGAGUAAUGCCUGGGAAACUGCCCGAUGGAGGGGGAUAACUACUGGAAACGGUAGCUAAUACCGCAUAACGUCGCAAGACCAAAGUGGGGGACCUUCGGGCCUCACACCAUCGGAUGUGCCCAGAUGGGAUUAGCUAGUAGGUGGGGUAAUGGCUCACCUAGGCGACGAUCCCUAGCUGGUCUGAGAGGAUGACCAGCCACACUGGAACUGAGACACGGUCCAGACUCCUACGGGAGGCAGCAGUGGGGAAUAUUGCACAAUGGGCGCAAGCCUGAUGCAGCCAUGCCGCGUGUAUGAAGAAGGCCUUCGGGUUGUAAAGUACUUUCAGCGGGGAGGAAGGCGGUGAGGUUAAUAACCUCGCCGAUUGACGUUACCCGCAGAAGAAGCACCGGCUAACUCCGUGCCAGCCGCCGCUGUAACAC
rnacentral:rRNA from 1 species